CCUACGGGUGGCUGCAGUGGGGAAUAUUGCACAAUGGGCGCAAGCCUGAUGCAGCCAUGCCGCGUGUGUGAAGAAGGCCUUCGGGUUGUAAAGCACUUUCAGCGGGGAGGAAGGCGUUAAGGUUAAUAACCUUGUCGAUUGACGUUACCCGCAGAAGAAGCACCGGCUAACUCCGUGCCAGCAGCCGCGGUAAUACGGAGGGUGCAAGCGUUAAUUGGAAUUACUGGGCGUAAAGCCCACGCAGGCGGUCUGUCAAGUCGGAUGUGAAAUCCCCGGGCUCAACCUGGGAACUGCAUUCGAAACUGGCAGGGUAGAGGCUUGUAGAGGGGGGGUAGAAGUCCAGGUGUAGCGGUGAAAUGCGUAGAGAUCUGGAGGAAUACCGGUGGCGAAGGCGGCCCCCUGGACAAAGACUGACGCUCAGGUGCGAAAGCGUGGGGAGCAAACAGGAUUAGAUACCCGUGUAGUC
rnacentral:rRNA from 1 species